UACGUAGGGUGCGAGCGUUAAUCGGAAUUAUUGGGCGUAAAGGGCGCGUAGGCGGCCCGGUAAGUCAAAGGUGAAAUCCCUCGGCUCAACUGAGGAACUGCCUUUGAAACUGUCGGGCUUGAGGCCGGGAGGGGGUAGCGGAAUUCCCAGUGUAGCGGUGAAAUGCGUAGAUAUCUGGAGGAACACCGGUGGCGAAGGCGGCAUCCUGGACCAAUAUUGACGCUGAGGAGCGAAAGCCAGGGGAGCAAACGGG
rnacentral:rRNA from 1 species